CCUCAAAUCGGGUAGGAAUACCCGCUGAACUUAAGCAUAUCAAUAAGCGGAGGA
rnacentral:rRNA from 1 species